ensembl:lncRNA
AGAAUGCAUUGGUUUACAUUUCGUUCUUUGGAAAACGGUUCUUUAGUAAUAAUAUUUGAGGGAAUAUUUUGUUGUUGUUUUAGCAGCGAAAUGCACCGUGUGCGUGUGUGUGUAUGUGUGUGUGUGUGUGUGUGUGUGUGUGUGUGUAUAACACGCUAUUUUAUGUUGAAAUGCGACGUAAUCCAGUGUUCACGAAACGUACACUGUCAACGUAUGCUUUUGGCGACUGGGUUGGCUCUCAGAUAUACGUGUUUCUAACAAGAUGAUAUCAUUAAAAGUUACAUAAAGUAACAGUUUAAUAACACAAACGCAGGAAGCACGUGAGCUGCUAGUUUAGCGAAAGCAGCGUCCCUAUUCUUAAAGGUUGGGUAGGUGAUUUGCGAAACGCCAGCAGAUUUUGAAAAUACACUACUCAAAUGGUCCUACCCCCUCUCCUUCAACGCUGACUCUGACUCCACCCAUUCCAAGUACCUGGACGCGCAAUCAUGCACGAGCGCGAACAGAGAUGCGCGAGAGCGAGCCAGGCUAGCGUAGAGUUUUCCUUCUCUUUGCUGGUGGUGGUGGUGGUGGUGGUGGUGGUGGGGAUGGUGGCGUCUUGUCUGCCAUGGAAAUUGUCUUCUACUGCUAGGUCCAAAUGUGGAUUAACUAGUUCCAGUAGCUACCGCAGGAUAACAACAAACAGGAGCUUGCUCUGGGUCACGAGCUCUGGGUCACGAGUACUGCACGAAGGGGUCCCGCGCGGGGGAGGGGGAGUGCAGUACGACCGUUUGAUUGACGUACUUACUGUCCAAUGCAACUCGGUGGCAAUGGAAAUGAUUGGCUGGAGUUUUUCGAGCCCUGCCCGUUCCACAGAUGAUUGACUUGUUUAAUUUUCAUGUCAGUACUUCUAACUCAGUGGCUGUAAGCGGGUUAUGAUAAGGAUUUCAAGUAAUUUUGCAAAAAUGGCCAAAAAAGCGAAUCACCUACCCAACCUUUAACAACCUUACGUCGUUGAAACAUGCGAGCGAGCCGAUCAAAUCCUAAUAACUAUAAAACUAAAGAUCAGACACAAUCACUGACUGAAGAUUAUGCAAGUAAAAAGUAUAUUUCUCGCUAGAAAUGUUAUUAGAAACACGUUUAACGGUGAAUCGGUCCUAAAAUAUUGCAUUUCCCAUUCAGAUAAUAAAGAUUAAUAAAGAUCAUACACAUUCACUGACUGAAGAUUAUGUAAGGAAAAUGUACAUUUCUCGCUAGAAAUGUCAUUAGAAACGCGUUUAAUGGUGUAUCUCUCCUAAAAUAUUGCAUUUCCCAUUCAGAUAAUAAAGAUUAAUAUAGGCUAUGCCGUGUUCCGGAGCCGCGGGGGAUUCUGGGAAUUGGGGUUGUCAGUUGACAAAAGGGGCUUUUGUUAACUUGUUUUAUUGUUAGGAUUAAGUGGGGUUAAUGGGUUCGGGAUGUUAUGUGGUUGUGUGUUGUUCUAUUAACAUUGUUCGUGUGUUCAUUGUUGUCGACACCGUCACCGAGAGUGACGUGACCAUCGUUUCGUGCAGCCGUUCCGUGUUGAAGUCUCGUUCAAUAAAAACCAACUCUCGUUGUCGAGCGUUCAAUAAAAACCAACUGUCGUUGUCGAGCAAGUUCUCUUUAAGAUCGCAUGAGAUGAUAUGUGCUAUCGCGCGACCUGUAACCAGGAAGUAAACACUCGCUUGCAUGAAAUGAUAUGCGCUAUCGCGCGACGUGUAACCAGGAUGUAGAUUUAAAUAAUGAAAAAAUAAACUUCCCAGACUGUUUCUGUUACUUGCUUAUGCUGUAUGCACGUUGUUUAAGAAGCUUAUCUCCAUAUAAAUCUGAGCUGUACAUGAAUCUGUUAAUGAAGUCUCAUUUCGACUCCUUCCUCCACUUCACUAUUCAUGUUCUGUUGCUUGCAGUUAACUACAGCCGCCCUUCCUGGGUAACGCCACCACCAAUCCCUGGUCAUCCAUUGAAGCCAUCUCUCUCACUCUGCACAGUCACACUGUUGCCGCUUCAUUCUCAUUGUCUCAUAAUCUCAUUAUUAUGGCUGCUGUGGAUGCUUUAAAAAAUAAAAACAAUUCUCUUAGGUAAAAUCAAACCAGCUGGAUGUUAGAUUGAAAACCUCCAAAGCAAUUUAUUAAAAAUUUAAUUGAAAGACAGUCCUAUGUGAAGUUUCUUUUUUGGGGAUUUUCAAAAUGAG